UUACGGCCACAUCGCAUUAAAACACCGGUCCCCGUACAAUCACCAAAGUUAAGCAACGUCGAGCCUGGUCAGUAACUGGAUGGGUGACUGCUUGUGAAAUAACAGAUGUUGU